rnacentral:rRNA from 1 species
UGGGGAAUAUUGCACAAUGGACGGAAGCCUGAUGCAGCAACGCCGCGUGCGGGAUGACGGCCUUCGGGUUGUAAACCGCUUUUUCUCAUGACGAAGUUUUUUGACGGUAGUGGGGGAAGAAGCACCGGCUAACUACGUGCCAGCAGCCGCGGUGAUACGCAGGGUGCGAGCGUUGUCCGGAAUUAUUGGGCGUAAAGAGCUUGUAGGCGGUUUGUCGCGUCGAUAGUGCAAACUCAGUGCUUAACGCUGUGCCUGCUGUUGAUACGGGCAGACUAGAGGAAGGUAGGGGGGAAUGGAAUUCCCGGUGGAGCGGUGGAAUGCGCAGAUAUCGGGAGGAACACCGGUGGCGAAGGCGGUUCUCUAGGCCUUUCCUGACGCUGAGAAGCGAAAGCGUGGGGAGCGAACAGG